AGGGGCAGCAUUAUCGAAGCUUGCUUGAUAGAUGGCGACCGGCGCACGGGUGAGUAACGCGUAUCCAACCUUCCCAUCACUCAGGGAUAGCCCGCCGAAAGGCGAAUUAAUACCUGAUGGUCUCCUUCGCGGACAUCUAACGAGGAGUAAAGAUUUAUUGGUGAUGGAUGGGGGAUGCGUCUGAUUAGGUAGUAGGCGGGGUAACGGCCCACCUAGCCGACGAUCAGUAGGGGUUCUGAGAGGAAGGUCCCCCCACAUUGGAACUGAGACACGGUCCAAACUCCUACAGGAGGCAGCAGUGAGGAAUAUUGGUCAAUGGACGGAAGUCUGAACCAGCCAAGUAGCGUGCAGGAUGACGGCCCUAUGGGUUGUAAACUGCUUUUGUGCGGGAAUAAAGUUUGGGACGUGUCCCAUUUUGCAUGUACCGCACGAAUAAGGACCGGCUAAUUCCGUGCCAGCAGCCGC
rnacentral:rRNA from 1 species